AUAGAGUCAAGUGAAUAAGUGCAUCAGGCGGAUGCCUUGGCGAUGAUAGGCGACGAAGGACGUGUAAGCCUGCGAAAAGCGCGGGGGAGCCGGCAAUAAAGCAAUGAUUCCGCGAUGUCCGAAUGGGGAAACCCACUGCAUUCUGUGCAGUAUCCUAAGUUGAAUACAUAGACUUAGAGAAGCGAACCCGGAG
rnacentral:rRNA from 1 species